rnacentral:tRNA from 1 species
GGAGGGAGGGCCGUCUGACUGUUAAUCAGAUGGUCAUGGGUUCGAUUCCCACCCCUUCCA